ACGCACAUCAUCAUAACAACCUCACUCAAACCAAUACAGCUCAAACCAACUCAACUCAAACCAACUCAACUCACAUCAUCAUAACAACUUAACUCAGACCAACACAACUCAACUCACAUCAUCAUAACAACUCAACUCAAACCAACUCAACUCACAUCAUCAUAACAACCUCACUCAAACCAACUCAACUCAACUCAACUCACAUCAACAUAACAACUCAACUCAAACCAACAAAACUCACAUAAUCAUAACUCAACAGUUCUACUCGCCAACUCUAACAAACAGCUCAACUCCACAACAUAACAAUGAUUCAUCCUCUCAACCAACAGCACAACAACUCAACUCACAACUAUUCGACCCAUCGGAUCAACUCUAGUACAUUGGACCAUCAGGCAGUGCUUCACGUUUGGGUGGAUAAUGGUGGAUUGAUCUGGCUGUAGUAAUUCUACCCCUAGAGAACAUGAUGGUGGAGAGAGUAUUACUGUUAUUUCUUUCCUGUUUGUCUUGUUAAGGUUUUCUGACUUUUCACUGGGCAUAUUCUACUGAGUCAGCUCUGUUCAAGCCUGUUUAAGUUGCUUUGAAGGAUAAAAAGAGUGCGCAUGUGUGUGUGUGCACACUUGUCUUAAACGGAGGACAUUCUCCCUCAGCAAAACGUCUCACUUUUCCCACAUCCGUUCUUUUUCUCAUUCGAUACAAUGCCAUAUUGAUCUUCUGCGUCUAAUAAACGACGACCUGAAUACACCGGUCCAAUGUCCAGACUCAUCUUUUUUGCCAAAUUUCUGACACGUUAGACAGCGAACCAAACCAGGUAACAAAUCAUCAUGUGACAACCGACCGACUCGGAAAGGGACCAAACAGAAUCCAGAGCCAGGACGCUAAGGACAGCAGGCGCUGUAUAACAUUGUCUUCCAGAUCAACCAGUUCAUUUUUCAUUCUAUGCCUAAAUAAGGAAGUGACAGAGUAUGGGUUGUAAAAAGUCAGCUUUGGUUAAGGAGGCGUGGCCUCUGUGCCCGUAAGUGUCCCAUCAGAUCAUCGAUCAAGUUCCGCAUCAAAUCAUCUGGGAAAGCGACAUGCACCGCUAGAACAGAGUGUUCUCCGUGCUGCUCAUUUGCAUUCAGUCUGACUAUUUAUAUCUGCCGGAAUUACACAAGUCAAAACAAAGUAUUCACACACACUGCUGUGCUUUUUCCCAACUUACUAAGACUCCCUCACAGAGAAAACAUCACAAAAAAAAGAUGGUGGUCCAUCUGCAAGAUUCAGAUUAGUGGGCGUGUCUUGGUACCCGUGUAUGAACCCGAAGACACGCCUUUUCUAUGUUUCUGAGCAGGUCAAAUAAAUCCGUCAGUAUGAUAAGGUUUUCUCCUGUCAUUAACAAUAUUUGUGAAAAUACCUGACUAUUUCCACACCCGAGCUCAGAGACACACCUCACGUUCCCAUAUAUGGUCUCGGACAAUCCCACAUUUCCAUACAAGAACUCAAUAGACACACUCAAAUCUCCACAGGUGAACUGAGAGAUGAGCCAAUCCAUGUUUGAUUCCUAAGACACGCCCAUAUUUUCCAUAUAUGGUCUUCAAAUCACACCCAUCGAAGACGCUUCCAUUUCAAUAUAUGAGUUCCGAGACAUGUCUAUAUUAGCAUGUAUGGACUCACAUUCCUGCUUAUACGUCCAUGUCGGAUUUAAGUCUCCUCUAUUUUCAUAUAUAGACACAGAGUUUCAGAUAUUCCGCCAUAUAUGGACACAGUCUCAACAAAUAUACAUAUAUGGAUUCGGGUCCUGCCUAUAGUGCCAUAUAUGGACAUAAGCUCACCUAUAUUGAAGUAUAUAUAGACUCAAAGUUUCAGCUAUACUUCCAUAAAUGGACGCAACGUCCAGCAAUAUUUCCAAAUCUGCACUCCAGUCUCAAUUCUACUUCUAUAUAUGGACUCGAGUCCCACCUGGAUUUCCAUAUUCCGACACAGUCACACCUACAUUGAAGUAUAUGGACUCUAAGGUUCAGCUAUACUUCCAUAUUUGGACGCCAUCCUAUAUUUCCAUAUCUCAACUCUAGUCCCACUUCUACUUCCACAUAUGGACUCAUGUCCCGCCGGUAUUUCCAUAUAUGGACACAUAAAUGGAACUAUAUAGACUCAAGAUUCCAUACUUCCUAUAUACUAUAUAUAUAUGGACUAAAUAUGGAUUAAAGUCCCGCCUCAAUUUCCAUAUCUGGACUCCAAUGAUCAGCUAUAUUUCCCUAUAUGGCCUCAAAGCCCCGCCCAUAUUUCCGUAUAUGUACUCCUUUUUCUCUGAACGCCUAGAUGUCAAACUCUAAUUUUGUGCUCUAAACAUGAAGCUCCUCCCACAUUACCAUAAAACCCCGCCCACUCCGCUGACCUCCGAGCCGGCCGUUAUGAGAGGAAGGAGAAUGUUUGGCCUGUGCUGAUGGUGACAGACCACGCAGCUGGCAUGUAUGCGUCUGUGUGUGUGUGUGUGUGUGUGUGUGUGUGUGUGUGCGUGCGCUGAAAGUGCGAUGGUGCCGGGAGUGGGAGUGUGAACGAGUGGGAGUGUGACAGCUCGUGCAUGCCUGUUAAGCGUGUGUGUGUUGGCAAGUUGUGUUCUGUUUGAUUAGCCAAUGAUAGGGGAUGAAAGCCAGAUCAUCAAGAGGAGUUUGAUCAGCUGCGGAGAACACACACACUAUCAUCCACGCUGACACACACACACACACACACACACACACACACCAUCAUCUACUCUGACAUACGCACCGUCAUCCAUGAUGUGACUGUGACGAGAAAAAGAACUCGGGUUAAUGAAAGACCGAUUACUCAGUCUAAUUAUCCAUUCUCUCUCUCUCUCUCUCUGUAUAUCUAUCUGUUAUGUCUUUUACUUUAUCUCUCUCUCUCUCUCUCUCUCUCUCUCUCUCUCUCUCACUCUGUGACCUUGUGCUGUCAGCUGUUUUAACAAGGCUUAAACGAACACACCAGUUGUGUGUACAUGGGGUGUGCACUGCCCAUGUAGCAUGAGCUAUGAUAUGAUACGCUGGUACAUGCCAACACACACACACACACACACACACACACACACACACACACACACACACAAUUUCAGCGAAAUCAAUAUUUUUUUAUUGAGGAAUCCAUUAUGUCAAGAACUCUUGACGUGCACCUGAAAGGAAAGCAAGUGAAAGCAUCGGAGCGUCUCCGGGUUCCCGCAGUCCGCUUUCCCAUGAACCCUCACUGCGUCGCGAGAAUGCGGCAGUCAUAAUUUCAUCUACAGCCUCAAGUACAACCCUGAUGUCACUAUUACAACUCAAAAUGUAAUUAAAGAUCUAUAAUGAGCAAUUUGUGUAAUCUGGUCACCCAAGGAAAGCGUUAAAAACAGCUCGCCCCACUCACACACCACCUACGCCUUUGUUUGGCGUCUUGUUUUUUGCUGAAAAACCUCCUUCCUGCGAGCCUUUGAGAAGUUUAAUCACCUCUCCUUCUUUCUCUCUCUCUCUCUCCCUCUCCCUCCUUCUCUCUCUCCCCCUCUCCCGCCUUCUCUCGCUCUCCCUUCUCUCUCCCCACCGCUGUGCCGCGGAGUCGUGUUGGCGUGACGGGGUGGAAAAGGUCACUCCUGUUUCUUCGUUUUCGGGGCAAGUGGAGCGAGGGAAGAGGAGGAGCGAGGAGGAGGGCAGAAGCAGGUAGAGGCCUCUCUGCACUCGUCCGCUGUUCUGUCGGUUCUGUGGACCGAGCGCUAAUGGGGCGUCACGCUGAGCUGGCGCAGAGCACGCCUGCUGCUGCUGCUGUACAUUAUGGGAAACACACCUUCACACACACACACACACACACACACACAGAGAGAGAGAGAAGGCCGAUCGAUGCAGUAAGAGAUGCGGAAUUGCGCGCGUGUGUGUGCGUGUGUGAGAGGAAAAAACAGAGCCAACAGCAACACAAAGACAAAUUUGAUAUUUUUUUUAUGAUCCACUCGACACAAUUACACCACAGGAGCAUUUUCUCCAUUCUCAUGAUGUGUGUGUGUGUGUGUGUGUGACCCCAGUGCACGAUGUGUGAUGAAAUAUCAAAUCUCCACAAAGAUAUACACACGGUGUAAGACAAGAACAAUACAACAAAUUACACAACACACACACACACACACACACACACACACACACACACGCUCCAGAAGCGAAGAUGUACUCAUGGGAAAUAUUCGAUAGUCGUUUACUACUCAGGUGGCCGAUCAAUUCUCAAAAUAAUUAUGACAGACAAGUUAAUCUGCAGGAUUUCUACAAUCUCAACGGUACUCUUUCACUUCCUGUGGUUCCUGCUUCUCUACACAGACUCCGCCCACUAAAAAAAACUCGUGUAAUAUUCCUUUUCAGCCAGUUUUGUGAUAGCUCCGCCCAUCGGAACCUUUACACUUUCCCCGUUAACCCUUCGCCUAACCGAACCCUAGGUGAAAUAAAUUCCAUUCUAAUUUGGAGAUAUCGUUUCAGAUUGUCAGCCUCCUCAGCCAAUCAGAUUCGCCUCGUAUCUGGCCUCCAUUUACGCAAGCGCGCGUUUUACAUACGGGACGUCUGAGUCGGGGAGAUUAAAAAAAUAAAGUCAGAACUCGGCAAUUAAUCAUCGUUUGGUUGGAUAUAGUGAUACGGUGGGGUAGACAAAGAGCAUAUGGAGAGUGAGACCGUCAGAGUGAGGCAAAGAGUGAGACAGAAAGAGUGAAACAGAUACAGUGAGGUAGACAAAGAGCAUACGGAGAGUGAGGCAAAGAGUGAGACAGAAAAAAGUGAAACAGGUACAGUGAGGUAGAUAAAGAGCAUACAGAGAGUGAGACAGUCAGAGUGAGGCAAAGAGUGAGACAGAGUGAAACAGAUACAGUGAGGUAGACAAAGAGCACACAGAGAGUGAGACAGUCAGAGUGAGACGGGAAAAAGUGAAACAGGUACAGUGAGGUAGACAAAGAGCAUACAGAGAGUGAGACAGUCAGAGUGAGACAGUCAGACUGAGACAGAAAAAAGUGAAACAGGUACAGUGAGGUAGAAAAAGAGCAUACAGAGAGUGAGACAGUCAGAAUGAGGCAAAGAGUGAGACAGAAAAAAGUGAAACAGGUACAGUGAGGUAGACAAAGAGCAUACAGAGAGUGAGACAGUCAGAAUGAGGCAAAGAGUGAGACAGAAAAAAGUGAAACAGAUACAUUGAGGUAGAAAAAGAGCAUACAGAGAGUGAGACAGUCAGAGUGAGACAGUCAGAGUGAGACAGGAAAAAGUGAAACAGGUACAGUGAGGUAGAAAAAGAGCAUACAGAGAGUGAGACAGUCAGAGUGAGGCAAAGAGUGAGACAGAGUGAAACAGAUACAGUGAGGUAGACAAAGAGCACACAGAGAGUGAGACAGUCAGAGUGAGACAGAAAAAAGUGAAACAGAUACAUUGAGGUAGAAAAAGAGCAUACAGAGAGUGAGACAGUCAGAGUGAGACAGUCAGAGUGAGACAGAAAAAAGUGAAACAGGUACAGUGAGGUAGAAAAAGAGCACACAGAGAGUGAGACAGUCAGAGUGAGACAGUCAGAGUGAGACGGGAAAAAGUGAAACAGGUACAGUGAGGUAGACGAAGAGCACACAGAGAGUGAGACAGUCAGAGUGAGACAGUCAGAGUGAGACAGGAAAAAGUGAAACAGGUACAGUGAGGUAGACGAAGAGCACACAGAGAGUGAGACAGUCAGAGUGAGACAGUCAGAGUGAGACAGGAAAAAGUGAAACAGGUACGGUGAGGUAGACGAAGAGCACACAGAGAGUGAGACAGUCAGAGUGAGACAGUCAGAGUGAGACAGUCAGAGUGAGACAGGAAAAAGUGAAACAGGUACAGUGAGGUAGACGAAGAGCAUACAGAGAGUGAGACAGUCAGAGUGAGACAGUCAGAGUGAGACAGGAAAAAGUGAAACAGGUACAGUGAGGUAGACGAAGAGCACACAGAGAGUCACAUAUGGACCGGUUUCACUGAUCGACACGGACGUAUUUCAUGAAUCUGCUCUGUAUUCAUCGUGUUUCUCAGGUCUAAGACCGUGAAGAUCGGACUUGCGUUCUCGUGAAGUCUGUGAAGAACCGGUCUUGCCCGGCUACCUUGGAAGAACGACCUUCACGCAUCUUUGCGAGAACUGAGAUGUGCUGCGCGCUUCCUGCUGCGCGGUGCACCGUCCCAGCACAUCUCUCGUAGAGGGACAGGACCGUCGUCUCUUCAUUGCUGCCGGAGUAAUAUGUUUCAGCCGCUUAACAGAUUCGCUCUUACACGGCUGAUUAACCGGAAGUUAAUUAAGACCAGUUUAAUGUAGUAAGCUCGCUGCGACCUCACGUUAACUAAAAACGAAGCUGAGGAGUUUCCCGUCUCCUCAGGGUGGACGCUAGCGUUGAUUAAUUCAAAUAUUUCGGAGAGAUAGAUUCCACUUUUCAACCAGCUCAUAUAUAUCUCAAUCUAAAUCUUAUCUCACAUGCGUUCUUUUACGAUGCAUCUUUGGAUUAUUGUCUGUAAAGAGACGUUAAAAGUGUCAUGUGACCGCCGCUUUCGUCACGGGGCAGGCUUCAGAGAGAGAGAGAGAGAGAGAGAGAGAGAGAGAGAGAGAGAGACGGAGGGUUCGAUAUAGUGAGGUAGACAAAGAGCAUCUAGAGAGUGAGACAGAAAAAGCGUGAGCUGGAUAGUGAGACAUAGAAAGAGAGUAAGGCAAAGAGUGAGACAGACAAAGAAUGAGACAGAAUGUGAGACAGACAAAGAAUGAGACAGAGAGUGAGACAGACAAAGAGCAUCUAGAGAGUGAGACAGAAAAAGAAUGAGCUGGAUAGUGAGACAUAGAAAGAGAGUAAGGCAAAGAGUGAGACAGACAAAGAAUGAGACAGAAUGUGAGACAGACAAAGAAUGAGACAGAGAGUGAGACAGACAAAGAGCAUCCAGAGAGUGAGACAGAAAAAGAAUGAGCUGGAUAGUGAGACAUAGAAAGAGAGUAAGGCAAAGAGUGAGACAGACAAAGAAUGAGACAGAGAGUGAGACAGACAAAAGAGCAUAUAGAGAGUGAGACGGAUAGUAAGACAGAGAGAGUGAGACAAAGACUGAGAGAGAAAAAAGUGAAACAUAUAGUGAGGUAGACAAAGAGCGUAUAGAGGGCGAGACAGAAAAACAGUGAGCUGGAUAAUAGACAGAGACAGAGAGACAGAGAGUGAGACAGACAAAGCACAUAGAGAGUGAGACGGAUAGAGAGAGAGAUGCAAAGAGUGAGAUAGGGAGUGAGACAGGCAAAGAAUGAGACUAAGUAUGAGGCAGAAAAGGAGCAAGAUAGAGUGAGGCAAAGAGUGAGACAGGUAUAUAUAUAGAGACAGAUGCAAAGAGUGAGACAGGGAGUGAGACGAAGUGUGAGGUAGAAAAAGAGUGAGACAAAGAAUGUGAGAGAGUGAGGUACAGCGUGAGGCACAAAAAAAAGAGAGCGGCAGAGAGUGAGACCAAAAGAGUGCAGUAGAGUGAGGCAGAAAGAGUGAGACAGAGAGCGAGACAGAAAAAAACCCUCUUUCUCUCAUCCUCGCUAACUAGCGUUUAACUGAGCAGCUAGCGUAUCAUUUACCUCCUGCCUGCUCACACGGAUGCACGUGUGCAGGUGUUUCACACGCCACACACUCAAUCUAAUCCAUUACACGACAAGAUAAACAACUUUAAACCUUCAACGGAAACAAGACCUCAGCUACGCUAAGCUAGCUGUCUUCAUCCGUGUCUGAGAGAAACUGAAGAAGACGCGCUUUUGGCUAAUGUGAGCGAGUGGUGCGGUGGAGUGUAAUCUAACGCAACGCCUCAUAAUCCGGUCAUCGGGGUUCAAAUCUAGACGACGCCUCUGUGUUGCUUCCACGCAUUUCCUUCACACCUCCAUUUACCUUCCUAAGGUUGAAGAAAAGCAUGUUGCGAGCACAUAAUCUAGUUGUGUUAGUCUAAAAAUUACCGGGCUAAUUUAAGAGCCAUUACAGCAAUAUACUAUAAUCUACUCCACUUUUACAGCCAUUAUGGAUCCAGUGUCUUAUUUCUAAACCGGUGUCUAUGAGCUUCCCUCGCUCGUUAGCCUGUACACGCCAGUCUAAAGACGUGAGAGCAAACAUCUGGCAUCGAGCUUGUACCUGUUCUUAAAUAUCAGACGAGUGGAUUAUGUUACACACGCUGCGUUAAAGUUAAGUCGAUUCAAUUUCCUGUCUAGUCCAGCCUUCAUCGUCAUUACUGUCCUCGUCGUCAUCAUCAUCAGCGUUAUCGUCAGAGAGAGAGAGAGACAGACAGAGAGAGACAGACAGAG
ensembl:lncRNA